CUCCUUUGUGAUGUCAUCUGUCACACGCGACAGAAGGCUGAGCCGAGGCACAGCUGUGUGAUCCCCAGCAUCUGCUUCCCUCCUCUCAGGCUGCUGUCAAUAGGGUAACUUGGCUGCAAGAUGGCAGAACCACACCAGGACAUCACCGUCGUGGAGGACCAGGAGAGGCAGCACGUCCCCUCAGGCUAUCCCCUUCAGAUUCCAGUCGAUGAUGGAUCGGAUGAGCCUGUUUCUGAAACAUCUGACGCUAAGAGCACCCCAACUACAGAAGAUGCCACAGCACCUUUAGUAGAGGAAGGAGACCAAGAGGAUCAGCACGGGGAGAUCCCAGAAGGAACCACAGCUGAAGAGGCGGGCAUAGGAGCCACCCCCAGCCUGGAGGACCACGCUGCAGGAGAUGCUGCUCAAGCUCGUAUUGAUAGCAAAGACAAGGAAGGGGCUGAAACUGAUGAAAAGAAACCGAAGAAAUCCUCACCUUCCACUGCCAAACCCCCAAGUGAUAGAGCCUCCAUCCCUCCCCACCGACACACCUCCUCUAGCACAGCCCCUCCGAAAUCUCCCUCCAGCCCUGCAUCCACCUCUAAACGAGUCUCACCCCGACCUGCCAGUACAGGAACGCAUGAAACAAAGGCCAAGGGCCAGGAGAUGAGGGGUGGCACAAAGCCGGCCACGCCGCGCUCUGCAGCCGGGCAGCCACAGAGGAGCUCCAGCAACGCCACCCGCAUCCCAGCAAAAACCCCCACGGCCCCCAAGACCCCUCCUGGCUCUGGCAGAAAGGAGCAGAAAAAACCACCCCCUGCAGCAGCGAAGUCUGAGAAAGGUGAGCAGCCCAAGUCUGGAGACAGAAGCGGUUACAGCAGUCCCGGCUCCCCCGGGACUCCAGGCAGCCGUUCCCGCACUCCUUCUCUGCCCACCCCACCAGCCAGGGAGCCCAAGAAGGUGGCUGUGGUUCGCACGCCUCCCAAAUCGCCCGCGUCCGCCAAGAGCCGCGUGCAGCCCUCGGCGGCUCCGAUGCCCGACCUGAAAAACGUCAAAUCCAAAAUCGGCUCCACCGAAAACCUGAAGCAUCAACCUGGAGGUGGCAAGGUGCAGAUUAUUAAUAAGAAGCUGGACUUUAGCAGCGUUCAAUCCAAGUGUGGCUCAAAGGAUAAUAUCAAACACAUCCCAGGAGGAGGCAGUGUGCAGAUUGUUAAUCAGAAGUUGGACUUUAGCAGCGUUCAAUCCAGGUGUGGCUCAAAGGAUAAUAUCAAACACAUCCCAGGAGGAGGCAGUGUUCAAAUCGUUUACAAGCCGGUGGACCUGAGCCAUGUGACAUCCAAAUGUGGUUCCCUGGGCAACAUCCAUCACAAACCAGGUGGUGGCCAAGUGGAGGUGAAAUCUGAGAAACUGGACUUCAAAGAUAAGGUGCAAUCUAAAAUCGGGUCCUUAGAUAACAUCAGCCACGUUCCUGGAGGAGGAAAUAAAAAGAUCGAGACUCAUAAGCUGACUUUCCGUGAGAACGCCAAAGCCAAGACCGACCACGGCGCCGAAAUCGUCUACAAAUCCCCCACCAUCUCCGGAGACGCCUCUCCACGCCGCCUUAGCAACGUCUCCUCCACUGGCAGCAUCAACAUGGUGGACUCCCCCCAGCUCGCCACGUUGGCCGACGAAGUGUCCGCCUCGCUGGCCAAGCAGGGCUUGUGAUGGGGCACAGCAUCACCGCGGGAGAGAGAGAGAGAGAGAGAAGAUGAGGGGGGAAAAACAAACAAACAAACAAAGGGAAAAAAAAAAAGAAAAAAAAAAGAAACACAAAUAAUAAUAAUCUGGCCUUCUUCCUCUGUUCCUUUUACAGCUGCUUCCCCAUCCCCUACUCGGUUAAUGAUUUAACCUGCUUUUACUGUUCAUUCAGCUCUAGCUCCAGGACUUCAAAAUCAGUGACACUUCGAGGUCAGCUCAGAGCUCGCAGAAGUGGCAGCUCCACGGCUCUGCUGCGCUCGUGUGGUGGCAGCAGGAGGAGGAGGAGGAGGAGGAGGAGAGGAAGGUGCAAUGGUGGUGGUGGUGGUCAGCCCGGCGCUGAGCGCGGUGCCCUCCUGGGCUGCAGCACCCCAUGGCACCCCAUAGUACCCUAUGGCACCCCCUGGUACCCUAUGGCACCCUAUGGUACCCCAUAGAACCCCAUGGUACCCUAUGGCACCCUCUGGUCCCCACAGAACCCCAUAGAACCCCAUGGUACCCUAUGGCACCUUAUGGUACCCCAUAGAACCCCAUGGCACCCUAUGGUACCCUAUGGCACCUUAUGGUACCCCAUAGAGCCCCAUGGCACCCUAUGGUACCCUGUGACACCCCAUAGUACCCUAUGGCACUCUCUGGUACCCUGUGGCACCUUAUGGUACCCCAUAGAACCCCAUGGCACCCUAUGGCACCCCAUGGUGCCCCACAGUACCCCAUGGCACCCUAUGGCACACCAUGGCAAUGUGUGCAUCCCCAGCACCACUCAGAGCCCCUUUGUUCUUCGCUGCUGUUGUUCCCAUGACAAUGGGGGUUUGGGGGUUUGGGGCAGUGCUGCACCCCUGCCCUCCCUGCCCCCCGCCCCCAUUCUUUCACCAACCAAAGAGGCCGAGGUGCUGCUGGAGCAGCUCUGCACCGCCCUUCCCACCCUGCACCCCACGAAUUGCUGCU